rnacentral:rRNA from 1 species
UACGUAGGGUGCAAGCGUUGUCCGGAAUUAUUGGGCGUAAAGAGCUCGUAGGCGGUCUGUUGCGUCGGGUGUGAAAACUGGAGGCUUAACCUCCAGACGUCGGUGGAAACCGUAUGACUAGAGUCCGGAAGAGGAGAGUGGAAUUCCUGGUGUAGCGGUGAAAUGCGCAGAUAUCAGGAAGAACACCCGUGGCGAAGGCGGCUCUCUGGGACGGUACUGACGCUGAGACGCGAAAGCGUGGGGAGCGAACAGG